UAAGAAAUUGCUUAGAAAGUUCUGUCUUAGUAAUGUACAGAUCUCAAGGAAUGCUUGUGAUUUUUUUCACAUUGAUUAUGUAUCCUGAGCCUUUGCUGAAGUUGCUUAUCAGCUUAAGGAGAUUUUGGGCUGAGACGAUGGGUUUUCUAAAUAUACAAUCAUGUCAUCUGCAAAUAGAGACAAUAGAAUAACAUUAGUAUUUCACCAUUUAUUAUGACAUCUAUAUUUUGUCAUGGUCGAUAUUAUUUAGCAACGGUUGUGUCCACUAUACGAUGCUGUUUCUUCCGUAGUCAGGAAUCAAGGGGUAGAAAUGGGAGAGUUAUCACUCACUAUGUAUCCUGUUAACAAUUAGUAUAAUUUUAC
rnacentral:lncRNA from 1 species